GAUGAAGAACGUAACGAAAUGCGAUAAGUAAUGUGAAUUGCAGAAUUCAGUGAAUCAUCGAAUCUUUGAACGCACCUUGCGCCCUUUGGCUAUUCCGAAGGGCAUGCCUGUUUGAGUAUCAUGAACAUCUCAACUCCUCACGGUUCGCCCGUGACGAGCUUGGACUUUGGGGGUCUUGCCGGCCUGCGGGUCGGCUCCUCUCAAAUGAAUCAGCUUGCCGGUGUUUGGUGGCGUCACAGGUGUGAUAAAUAUCUACGCUUGUGGUUUUCCGCCAGGUAACCUCCAGCGAUGGGGGUUCACUGGAGCUCACGAAUGUCUCUCCUCGGUGAGGACAGCUCUUUGAACGUUUGAUCUCAAAUCAGGUAGGGCUACCCGCUGAACUUAAGCAUAUCAAUAAGCGGAGGA
rnacentral:misc_RNA from 1 species